UCAGGACAAAUCCAAUCACA
rnacentral:snRNA from 1 species